rnacentral:rRNA from 1 species
UACGUAGGGUGCAAGCGUUGUCCGGAAUUAUUGGGCGUAAAGAGCUCGUAGGCGGUUCGUCGCGUCGGCUGUGAAAUCCCGAGGCUCAACCUCGGGUCUGCAGUCGAUACGGGCGGACUGGAGUUCGGCAGGGGAGACUGGAAUUCCUGGUGUAGCGGUGAAAUGCGCAGAUAUCAGGAGGAACACCGGUGGCGAAGGCGGGUCUCUGGGCAGUAACUGACGCUGAGGAGCGAAAGCGUGGGGAGCGAACAGGA